rfam:Catenaria anguillulae PL171 BCR44scaffold_44, whole genome shotgun sequence.
GCUGUCGUGGCCUAGUGGUUAAGGCGCCGGGCGUCCACUGUGGAGGUCGUGGGUUCGAACCCCACAGGCGGCG